CGCUAUCGAUGUUAAAUUAAUUUGUGUUAGUGAAGUUUUAUGUAAUCUUAGCAAGCUUUUUGUUGAACUCGACUGCAGUAAAUAAAUACGAUUACUGUAUAUUGUUAUAAGCUAGCAUGAACUUGCAAGUAACAGUGAUUACUGCGGUCGUGAUCACGUCUCCCGCCAUGAAUGUUACAUAUAAGUUGACGCUAAACUCCUUCACGUCCUGGUUAUUGAAUAAAUGUUAGCGCCAUUAAAAUAAUCUCCAUGUAACAGUUACAGUCAUAUUCAAUAAAUUAGAAUAUGGGUUCCAAUGAGACGCAAUUGUCGCAAGUCCGGCGACAUUGGCGGACAUUCCCGCCCACAGAGUCAGCCGUACUCCCCCUGCCUGGAAGGUGUUUAUUGUUUUUACCUUAGAAUGGCCAACUCUCCGUUAUUGCUAUAUCAAUUUGAUACAGUAGAAGCUUCCGCACUUCCCAUAUCUGUGCUUUUUGUCACUAUUUUCAGGAGUUGAAACUGUUUAAGCCGUUGUUAACAUGUCGUAACCUGCUUUUCCAAGCCGCCUCUAAAUGGCAGCAAAACGCAAAGAACUUAGCACAAUCAGAGGGAUCAGUUUAAGAUCACUGCUUUAAAGAGCCCAUCCUUUCAGGAUUUUUUGUUUGAUAGUGUUGUGUGUUAACAGUUGAUGUUUUUUAUUAUUCUUAUCUAAUUUGUAUAAAUUAGGAUUAAGAUUUAUAAAGAGCAUAUGUUUAUUUUCAGAGAAAGCAUGGCAGCCAUCUCCAGCAAUACCUUGCAAUGACUGCAGUGGUCGUCAAAAGGAAAGGAUCUGACUCCAAUGAAGGUGCUUCAACCAGCAAGCAGAGAAAACUUGAGGAAAGCAGUAAAGUUUCUCAGAAGAGUGUUGACCAUGCAGUGAUAAACUUCAUUGUCCAGGGUUUGCACCCUUUUGGAAUAGUAGAACAGGCAGGAUUUCGAAGCCUGGUGCAGCAGCUUCAGCCUAAUUCUACUGUGAUAUCUCGUUCAACAGUUCGAACCAUGAUUGAAAAAAAUACAGCAGAAAUGAAGGCAAAUGUGAGAAAAGCAAUGCAAAAUAUCAAAUACAUUGCUACAACAACGGAUUCCUGGACUUCACACCGGCAGAGCUUUGUUGGAGUGACUGCUCACUGGAUAGAUCCUGAAAGUCUUGAGAGAUCAUCGGUAGCUCUUGCUUGCAGGCGACUUAAAGGUCCCCACACAUUUGACGCAUUGGCUGGUCUCCUCAACGAUAUUCAUACUGAGUUCAACAUCCGGGAGAAAAUUGUGAGAACCACCACUGACAAUGGCUCCAAUUUUGUUAAGGCCUUUAGGGUUUAUGGCCCUGAUGAAAACAACAGUCUGGACACAUCUAGUUUAGGAAGUUUAGCUGAAGGGCACCAAGUAGUGGAAGCGAAUGAAAAUGAGGAAGACGAUGCUCUGGGAGUGGAGGUAGAGGCUGUUGAGAUUGGAUCUCUCUUGGAUGAAGAAGAUGAUAGUUCAGAAUAUCAGCUACCGAAGCAUCAUCGCUGUGCCUGUCAUGUGCUUAAUCUGAUCUCAACAGUGGAUGCCACCAAAGCAAACUCAAAUGAGACUUACAAAAAGCUUUCAUGUGCAUCAUUUGCCAAGUGUGGGGGUCUGUGGAACAAGAGUGCUCGAUCUACAAUAGCUGCUGAGGUAAUUGAAAAGAGUGUAAGCUCCAACUCAUCCGCCCCAAUGACACCAGGUGGAACUCCCUGUUUCUGGCAGUGGAACAUAUACUGAGGAUCAUCAAAGACAAUGGAGAAGGGGCCAUCAGAGCAGUUUGCAUUGUACUUAAAGUUUCCAUGUUAAAUCCUGCUGAGCUUGCUUUCCUGACUGAAUAUGUUUCAACCAUGAGACCAGUCGUCAAGGCCCUCAACAUAAUGCAGGCAGAAGCAGACGUCCAUAUGGGAUGGCUGGUGCCCACCACAAGUCUUCUGAGUGUGAAACUUGACCGCCUACGGAUCUCUGCUAAGUUCUGCCAGCCACUGAUUGAUGCACUUCAAGGAGGAAUACAGCAGCGCUUUGGACCCAUGCUUGCUGACCCUGAACUCAUUGCAGCAGCGAUUCUUCUUCCAAAGUUCCGAACAUCCUGGACAAGCAAUGAUGACAUGCUGAAAAUGGGACUGGACUACAUCAAGACAAACCUGGAUCAAGAGCCAGUGCAACUCGUUCGGAACAACUCAAGCUCAUCAGAUGAGGAGGACUACUUCAGAGUCAUUAAGAGCAACAUUCAAGAGACUACCAGACAGCUAGAUGCAUAUUUGGCCAGCACAAGUGAUACCAUGGAUAUUCUCGAGUCAGUUCCGGCAGUGUUUAAUUUGUCUUUAAAAGUAAACACACCUUUGCCCGCCUCAGCAGCCUGCGAAAGACUCUUCAGUAUAGCAGGACAAAUUUUCUCACCCAAAAGAGCCAGGCUGGACUCUAAAAACUUUGAGAACCAACUUCUGCUUAAGCUGAACAAGAAAUUCUUGCCGUGAUGUUAAAAUGAGAAGUUAAUGUGGUGCUAUGAUUAGAGUAGGCUGACUGAAGCUGACCCCCACACUUUCUUCAAAUCAAUGUCAAAUGUUUUGUGCAGCAAAAUUUGAGUUUCUCCUGUUUUAUCUUUGAAAAUAUCAAUGGACGUUUAAAGGUAAUUUUGACUUCGUAAAUGGGGUAGGGGACUGGUUGACUUUUGGACCUUUAGACGCUCAUUAAUAUCUUCAAAGGUAAGCAAUACAAACAAACAAAAAAUUCUGCAUAAACAGCACAAAUGUUUGACACCAAUUGUCUGAUUUGAAGAAUGUGGGGGGACCAAUUUCAUUCAGAUCAGGCGCACCCAUAUACAGAGGCUACAGAACUUUAUGUGGCUGUUCCAAGUUGGACUCCUCUUCCUUGAUUGAAUGUCCUCAGCCCCUUUCUGUUAAGAGUUCUCUCAAAAUAGCUGGCAAAAAAGUUAAGUUCAUGUUUUGUUAGGACGAAAGACUAGAUGUUUCCAAAUCGCUUGAUGUUUGUUAGGUCAGUUUAAAGUCCCUUUUUUCAGGGAAACAAUUUUCUUUUGAACGUGUUUAUUUUGAAUUAAAUAAAACAUUUCAAAGGUAUAAUAAUUUCUCUCAUUUUGCCUAAUUACAUGUAACCCUGCAGGUCAUCCCUGGAAUUCUGAUGCAUAGAAUAAAAUAUCUAAAUCUAAACUGUCACAGGGGGUAAACACAAUAAAAACAUGCUUUAUCUGCAGCAUUGCUCAUUAAAAUGGUACAUUACUGAUUUAUUAAAACUAAAUACGAUAGGUACACUUAAUGACAUUAUAUAAGCCGUUAGGUAUUAUGGUCGGCAAGUACUUUUACUUUUAAUACUUAAGUAGUUUUAAAAGCUUGUACUUUCUUACUUUUACUUAAGUAAAAUAAUAAUGUGGUACUUUGACUUUUACUUGA